rnacentral:siRNA from 1 species
GAGAGGACUUGUUGACGGCGGCA